rnacentral:rRNA from 1 species
UGUUGCAGUUAAAAAGCUCGUAGUUGGAUUUCUGGUCGGAGCGAUCGGUCCGCCUCAUUCGGGGUGUGUACUUGUGUCGUCUCCAGCCAUCCUUGAGGAGAACUGUUCUGGCAUUGAGUUGUUGGGGCAGGGAACCUCAUCUUUUACUGUGAAAAAAUUAGAGUGUUUAAAGCAGGCUUACGCCGUUGAAUACAUUAGCAUGGAAUAAUAAGAUAGGACUUUGGCGGUCUAUUUUGUUGGUUUGCACGCCGAGGUAAUGAUUAAUAGGGAUAGUUGGGGGUAUUCGUAUUUAAUUGUCAGAGGUGAAAUUCUUGGAUUUCUGAAAGACGAACUACUGCGAAAGCAUUUACCAAGGAUGUUUUCAUUAAUCAAGAACGAAAGUUAGGGGAUCGAAGAUGAUUAGAUACCAUCGUAGUCUUAACCAUAAACUAUGCCGACUCGGGAUUGGCGGGCGUUCUCUUUAUGACUCCGUCAGCACCGUAUGAGAAAUCAAAGUCUUUGGGUUCCGGGGGGAGUAUGGUCGCAAGGCUGAAACUUAAAGGAAUUGACGGAAGGGCACCACCAGGAGUGGAGCCUGCGGCUUAAUUUGACUCUACACGGGGAAACUUACCAGGUCCAGACAUAGU